UCGAGCGAGGCGGGGAGCAAUCCCCAGUCGAGCGGCGAACGGGUGAGUAACGCGUGGAUGACCUGCCCUUCAGCGGGGAAUAACCCGGGGAAACUCGGGCUAAUACCGCAUACGACCGAGAGGUGAAAGGGGGCCGCAAGGCUCUCACUGAAGGAGGGGUCCGCGUUCGAUUAGCUAGUUGGUAGGGUAAUGGCCUACCAAGGCGACGAUCGAUAGCCGGCCUGAGAGGGUGAUCGGCCACACUGGAACUGAGACACGGUCCAGACUCCUACGGGAGGCAGCAGUGGGGAAUUUUGCGCAAUGGGCUAACGCCUGACGCAGCAACGCCGCGUGGAGGAUGAAGGUCUUUGGAUUGUAAACUCCUGUCAGCAGGGAAAAAGGGACCCGGCCUCAUACGUCGGGAACUUGAUUGUACCUGCAGAGGAAGCCCCGGCUAACUCUGUGCCAGCAGCCGCGGUAAUACAGAGGGGGCAAGCGUUAUUCGGAAUUAUUGGGCGUAAAGGGCGCGUAGGCGGCUUUGCAAGUGACGGGUGAAAUCCCUCGGCUUAACCGAGGAACUGCCUGUCAGACUGCAUUGCUUGAGUCCGGGAGAGGUGAGUGGAAUUCCCAGUGUAGCGGUGAAAUGCGUAGAUAUUGGGAGGAACACCAGUGGCGAAGGCGGCUCACUGGACCGGAACUGACGCUGAGGCGCGAAAGCGUGGGGAGC
rnacentral:rRNA from 1 species